rnacentral:rRNA from 1 species
UACGGUAGGGGGCAAGCGUUGUCCGGAUUUAUUGGGCGUAAAGAGCGUGUAGGCGGUUUGGUAGGUCCGCUGUGAAAACUCGAGGCUCAACCUCGAGACGCCGGUGGAAACCAUCAGACUAGAGUCCGGAAGAGGAGAGUGGAAUUCCGUGGUGUAGCGGUGAAAUGCGCAGAUAUCAGGAGGAACACCGGUGGCGAAGGCGGGUCUCUGGGCAACAACUGACGCUGAGGAGCGAAAGCGUGGGGAGCGAACAGG